AAGCUCGUAGUUGAAUUUCGGGAUCAAGUCGUCGGUCGUGCUUAGGUACGUACUGGCGUCAUUGAUUUCUCCCUUCUGACGAACCAUGAUGUCAUUAAUUUGGUGUUAUGGGAAAUCAGGACUGUUACUUUGAAAAAACUUAGAGUGUUUAAAAGCAGGCUCUCGCUUGAAUACAUUAGCAUGGAAUAAUGAAAUAGGACGUUCGAUCCUAUUUUGUUGGUUUUAGGAUCAACGUAAUGAUUAAUAGGGAUAGUUGGG
rnacentral:rRNA from 1 species